rnacentral:lncRNA from 1 species
AAAAAAACUAGUAACAGAACAUACAUUUCUAAGAUUCACAAUAGUCAAAGAAUUAUCAAAACAGCCAAAGAAUCGCCAAAACUCCACUCAAUCAUAUUUGCAGAUGUAUUUACAUAGUGUGUCUUGCAAAGUUUUGAUGUUUUCUUCGCUUCAAAACCAAAAGAAAAAUGAAAAAAAGGCAACAAACACAAGAUCAAAGCUCAUAUUUUUAUCUUCUUUAUCCAAUACUGAAGCAAAGAUCCAAGCUCCCCAGAGAGAUGUGAGUGAACCUGGGCUACGGAGAGAUCGGAGAAGAGAUCGAAUAAAGUUAUAUAACAAAGAGCGCACUAAAAGAUUGCAUUGUUUUGACAAUUUUUUCGUUUGUUCUUUAGUCUUUUUUUCAAAGAGGUGAGAUAAUGAGAGCAAAAAGUAGAAAUUAAGGUUUGUUCUUUUUUUUUUUUUUUUUAGGUUUUAAACUGUCGAUAUAAAAUCGUGGCAGCUCCCGGACCUCAGUAAAUCCCCAAGCCCGACCCAAUUUUUUUGCGAGCUUUAGACCUAGUUCCCAACUCAAACCUGAUUAGCAUUUGGGACCUCUUGGGGACCAUAACUGUUAAAUUGUAUACCGUACGGAUGAUUUUUUUUUUUUUAUCAAAACUGUUAAAUUGUAUACCGUACGGAUGAUUUUUUUUUUUUUAUCAACAAUAGUUUGUUUUUAUUUGUUAUUUACGUUAUUUUUGGAUUAACGACUUAUGAAAUGAUAAUCUCCAAAUUACCUCUAAAUUAUUGUAAAUCUCAACUUACUCUCAUUACCAAUGAGAAAACAAAAAAUUUUCAUCAAGCGUCUUAAUUUUUUGCUUAUCUUUUGAAUGAUAAUGAGAGAUAAGUUGAGGUUUAAAGUAGUUUGAAAGUAUUUUGAAAAUA